AAGGUGGGGAUGACGUCAAAUCAUCAUGCCCCUUAUGUCUUGGGCUUCACGCAUGCUACAAUGGCCGGUACAAAGGGCUGCGAUACCGCGAGGUGGAGCGAAUCCCAAAAAACCGGUCUCAGUUCGGAUUGGGGUCUGCAACUCGACCCCAUGAAGUCGGAGUCGCUAGUAAUCGCAGAUCAGCAACGCUGCGGUGAAUACGUUCCCGGGCCUUGUACACACCGCCCGUCAAGUCACGAAAGUCGGUAACACCCGAAGCCGGUGGCCCAACUCUUUGAGAGGGAGCCGUCGAAGGUGGGACUGGCGAUUGGGACUAAGUCGUAACAAGGUAGCCGUACCGGAAGGUGCGGCUGGAUCACCUCCUUUCUAAGGAG
rnacentral:rRNA from 1 species